rfam:Picea glauca, whole genome shotgun sequence.
AUGUACAUGCCUACAACAUAGCACUAAUGCACUGGAUCUGAGUAGAACUUUGCAGUUAAGCACACUCAGGAUAGAGUAGUACUGUGAUGGGUGAACUCUCGGGAAGUCCUAGUGUUUUACAUU